rnacentral:rRNA from 1 species
UACGUAGGGGGCAAGCGUUGUCCGGAUUUAUUGGGCGUAAAGAGCGUGUAGGCGGUUCGGUAGGUCCGUUGUGAAAACUCGAGGCUCAACCUCGAGACGCCGAUGGAAACCAUCGAACUAGAGUCCGGAAGAGGAGAGUGGAAUUCCUGGUGUAGCGGUGAAAUGCGCAGAUAUCAGGAAGAACACCCGUGGCUAAGGCGGCUCUCUAGUACGGUACUGACGCUGAGACGCGGAAGCGUGGGGAGCGAACAGG